GUUGAAUAGAAGGAACUUAUGGCACUUAAAAAAUUCUUGAAGCAAUUAGAUCAUCGUUUUCAACACAUAUCAUUGUAACAGUUAUGGUUCUCAAUAAUAAUGUGAUUAAGAAGUAUUUAUAUUUUCCCUUUGUUUGUUUGGCAGAGUUAUUACAAGUUGAACUGAAAACAAGAAAAACUUGCUUUUGGCGCCAUCAAAAAGGGAAGCCAGAUACUUUCCUUUCCACAAUUGAAGCCAUUUAUUACUUCCUGGUGGACUACCAUAGAGCCGUGCAGAAGGAGGAGUACAGAGGACAAUAUGACAACCUUUUGUUCUUCUACUCCUUUAUGUACCGCUUGAUAAAGGAGGCCAGACGCUCUGGAGAGAAGGCCAAACAGAAGCCCAUCCAUUAGUUCUGCAAGCCCUCUUGACCUGUGCUCUGCAGUGCUCGCUAGCGUGCAGCCAAGCCUUGUUUCCCCUGGGGUAAUAACCAUGCGUGAUGCCCAUGAGAGGACCCCGGGGAGAGUCCAGCCUUGUUCAUUUUAUUGUAUUUUUUUAAUGGGAAAUUUGAAUUUUGGCAUUUUUAAGAGAUGAUCCUGAUAGAGAGACAGAUCAGAAGCUAUUUGCUCAUUUUGGGCAUAUCUCAUUAUAUGAGGCAUUUAAUAUGCUGUGCUACAUUUAUGUGAUGUAAUUAUAUGUGAUUAAAGAGUGUCAUAUCUUUUCACUUA
rnacentral:lncRNA from 1 species